rnacentral:rRNA from 1 species
AUACGGAGGGCGCAAGCGUUGUUCGGAAUCAUUGGGCGUAAAGCGCGUGUAGGCGGCUUGGUAAGUCGGGUGUGAAAUCCCGGGGCUCAACCCCGGAACUGCAUUCGAAACUGCCUCGCUGGAGUCCCGGAGAGGAGAGCGGAAUUCCCGGUGUAGAGGUGAAAUUCGUAGAUAUCGGGAGGAACACCAGCGGCGAAGGCGGCUCUCUGGACGGUGACUGACGCUGAGACGCGAAAGCGUGGGGAGCAAACAGGAUUAGAUACCCCAGUAGUCC